UAUACCCAACUCUCUUCCUCAUCUUGCUCUGUUCUUCAUUCAACUUCCGAUUCAUCUGCUCUUCCGGUUCAUUUCGGAAUCAUUCGAGCGUAUCACCUCCUCUCUUCUCCCAGACGAUGCCGAAAAGUUCAUCCUCACACCCGAAUCGCAGAACAGAACAUUUUUGGAGAUGAAAAAUUGAUUUCACAGCAUCAAACUAGAGCACAAGGUGAAAAAAAAAUUCAGGCAUAAACCAAAUCGAACAAAAUGAUGUCAGGGCAAGGCUUUCUGAGAUGAUGAUGGGGACGUUACCUCGACAAUCCAUUCCAAUAGUGGACCUCGUAAAGCUAUUGAAACAGAAGAAUUCAAUCAGGGCAAGGCUUUCUGAGAUGGAAAAUGAAAUACAUGAGCAUAGUAGAAGGCUUCAAAGGAUGGACAACAAUUUCAAGGCUAUGAUUUAUGUGAUUCUACUCUAUAUCGUUUUGUACUUUAUUAUGUAAUAAUUUAAAUGCUUGACUGUUAGUUUUUGGGAUAUUUGAUGAAUGUAAUUAUGGAUGUAAUGGACAUGUUGAAUAUUAGGAGUUUAAUUGAAUGUGAUGUUGUAAUUUAAUUAUGGAUGUACUGGUGGACAUGUUUUAAUUUUAUUAUGGAUGUAAUGUACUGCUUGAAUGUUAAGAGUUUAAUUGAAUGUGAUGCUGUAAUUUUAUUA